AGUGAACGCUGGCGGCAUGCCUAACACAUGCAAGUCGAACGGCAGCACAGUAAGAGCUCGCUUUUACUGGUGGCGAGUGACGGAUGGGUGAGGAAUACAUCGGAAUCUACUAUUUCUUGGAGGAUAACGUAAGAAAGCAUCCGAUAUUAGCUAAUAUUCUGUACGGCUUAAUGCAGCGGUCCAUGGGACUCUCCGUGAUUCAUUUAGCUGGUUCCGGAUUAGCUAGUUGGCGGGGUAAAGGCCCACCAAGGCGACGAUCCGUAGCUGGUCUGAGAGGAUGAUCAGCCACACUGGAACUGAGACACGGUCCAGACUCCUACGGGAGGCAGCAGUGGGGAAUAUUGGACAAUGGGCGCAAGCCUGAUCCAGCCAUGCCGCGUGAGUGAAGAAGGCCUUCGGGUUGUAAAGCACUUUUGUUAGGGAAGAAAAGAAGCAGGUUAAUACCUCGAUGUUCUGACGGUACCUAAAGAAUAAGCACCGGCUAACUACGUG
rnacentral:rRNA from 1 species